rnacentral:rRNA from 1 species
UACGUAGGUGGCAAGCGUUGUCCGGAUUUACUGGGCGUAAAGCGUAUGUAGGCGGAUUUUUAAGUAGGAAGUGAAAGGUUCGAGCUCAACUCGGACACUGCUCCCUAUACUGGAAGUCUUGAGGGCCGGAGAGGAAAGCGGAACGACACGUGUAGCGGUGAAAUGCGUUGAUAUGUGUCGGAACACCAAUGGCGAAGGCAGCUUUCUGGACGGUUUCUGACGCUAAGACGCGAAAGCGUGGGGAGCAAACAGG